GUGAGGAAUAUUGGACAAUGGGCGCAAGCCUGAUCCAGCCAUGCCGCGUGCAGGAAGACGCAUCUAUGGUGUGUAAACUGCUUUUGUACGGGAAGAAACACUCCCUCGUGAGGGAGCUUGACGGUACCGUAAGAAUAAGGAUCGGCUAACUCCGUGCCAGCAGCCGCGGUAAUACGGAGGAUCCAAGCGUUAUACGGAAUCAUUGGGUUUAAAGGGUCCGUAGGCGGUUUAAUAAGUGAGUGGUGAAAGCCCAUCGCUCAACGAUGGGACGGCCAUUGAUACUGUUAGACUUGAAUUACAAGGAAGUAACUAGAAUAUGUAGUGUAGCGGUGAAAUGCUUAGAUAUUACAUGGAAUACCAAUUGCGAAGGCAGGUUACUACUUGUGGAUUGACGCUGAUGGACGAAAGCGUGGGGAGCGAACAGGAUUAGAAACCCCAGUAGUCC
rnacentral:rRNA from 1 species